GAUGAACGCUGGCGGCGUGCCUAAUACAUGCAAGUCGAGCGAACAGACGAGGAGCUUGCUCCUCUGACGUUAGCGGCGGACGGGUGAGUAACACGUGGAUAACCUACCUAUAAGACUGGGAUAACUUCGGGAAACCGGAGCUAAUACCGGAUAAUAUAUUGAACCGCAGGGUUCAAUAGUGAAAGACGGUUUUGCUGUCACUUAUAGAUGGAUCCGCGCCGCAUUAGCUAGUUGGUAAGGUAACGGCUUACCAAGGCGACGAUGCGUAGCCGACCUGAGAGGGUGAUCGGCCACACUGGAACUGAGACACGGUCCAGACUCCUACGGGAGGCAGCAGUAGGGAAUCUUCCGCAAUGGGCGAAAGCCUGACGGAGCAACGCCGCGUGAGUGAUGAAGGUCUUCGGAUCGUAAAACUCUGUUAUUAGGGAAGAACAAAUGUGUAAGUAACUAUGCACGUCUUGACGGUACCUAAUCAGAAAGCCACGGCUAACUACGUG
rnacentral:rRNA from 1 species